ACUGGGCUGCCCACGUCAUGUGUGACCUGGAAUGAGUGGCCUUGCCUGGCCCUCGGUGUCCUCGUCUGCAGCGUGGGGCUGUGCACUGGGGCAGGGUCGUAGGCUGUCGGGGUGUCCGUGCCCCUCAGCCGCACCUGGCCAAGGCCACCCUGUGCGUCCUGUGCAGCGGUGUGCAGCGGCUCUCCCAGCAGCGGCUCAGCAGGCGCCUGCUCACAGGGCCUCCGGCCUGGGGCAGCAGGUAUGGCACAGUCACCUCCAUGAGGCCUGUAAUGACCCCAUCUCCAAGUAAGGUCCCUUCACAGCCGAGCCGGGACAAGGACACGACUCUUUGGGAGAUACACUCCAGACCAGCACUUCAAUCAGGGCCAAAAGCUGGGAGACUGGGUCACACGUGCCCACCCAGGGCCGGCGCCCAACACCCCGGGGGCAGCAGUGCUGGGCCUCUUGCCUCCCAGUGAGGGUGGCGCUCUUCUUACCCCGUCUUGCAGACAGGGACACUGGGGCCAGGAGCUGAGGCCACCGUGACCCACACGGAAACCCCCACGGGAGACCUACAGACACGCGUGGGCACGCACACACAGGGGCGAGGACACACGCAUGUGUGGACAUGCCCUCCUCCCCCCCACAGGAGCACGGAUGCACACACACUCACACUUGGGUCCCCAUGUAGGACAGGGAGGAGGACGACGCCCCGGGGCAGAGGGCACCUGCCACAGGUCCUGUGAGGAGCCCCCCGCACCAUCAGCAUGAGAUGUGACAGCAGUGGCUGCAGGAGCCUUGGUG
rnacentral:lncRNA from 1 species